rnacentral:tRNA from 1 species
GGCUCGGUAACUUAGUUGGUAAAGCGCUCGUCUAGCAUACAAGAGUCCUGGGUUCAAAUCCUAGCCGAGCA